AAGGCGGUGUCCGAAAAGCCCUAAUAGAGUAGGAU
rnacentral:ncRNA from 1 species